UGAGGUGUUAUGUGCACUUCUAAGGAAGAAA
rnacentral:piRNA from 1 species